rnacentral:rRNA from 1 species
AUUUGAGUGAGUGGCGAACUGGUGAGUAACACGUGGGAAACCUGCCCAGAAGCGGGGGAUAACACCUGGAAACAGAUGCUAAUACCGCAUAACAACUUGGACCGCAUGGUCCGAGUUUGAAAGAUGGCUUCGGCUAUCACUUUUGGAUGGUCCCGCGGCGUAUUAGCUAGAUGGUGAGGUAACGGCUCACCAUGGCAAUGAUACGUAGCCGACCUGAGAGGGUAAUCGGCCACAUUGGGACUGAGACACGGCCCAAACUCCUACGGGAGGCAGCAGUAGGGAAUCUUCCACAAUGGACGAAAGUCUGAUGGAGCAACGCCGCGUGAGUGAAGAAGGGUUUCGGCUCGUAAAACUCUGUUGUUAAAGAAGAACAUAUCUGAGAGUAACUGUUCAGGUAUUGACGGUAUUUAACCAGAAAGCCACGGCUAACUACGUGCCAGCAGCCGCGGUAAUACGUAGGUGGCAAGCGUUGUCCGGAUUUAUUGGGCGUAAAGCGAGCGCAGGCGGUUUUUUAAGUCUGAUGUGAAAGCCUUCGGCUCAACCGAAGAAGUGCAUCGGAAACUGGGAAACUUGAGUGCAGAAGAGGACAGUGGAACUCCAUGUGUAGCGGUGAAAUGCGUAGAUAUAUGGAAGAACACCAGUGGCGAAGGCGGCUGUCUGGUCUGUAACUGACGCUGAGGCUCGAAAGUAUGGGUAGCAAACAGGAUUAGAUACCCUGGUAGUCCAUACCGUAAACGAUGAAUGCUAAGUGUUGGAGGGUUUCCGCCCUUCAGUGCUGCAGCUAACGCAUUAAGCAUUCCGCCUGGGGAGUACGGGCCGCAAGGCUGAAACUCAAGGAAUUGACGGGGGGCCCGCACAAGC